rnacentral:rRNA from 1 species
UGUCGCUGAUUUCACGCUGUCAAGAAAAGCUUCUAUUGAGAGAGAAGGUGCCCGUACCGUAAACCGACACAGGUAGGCGAGGAGAGAAUCCUAAGAUGAGCGGGAGAAGUGUUGUUAAGGAACUCGGCAAAAUGACUCCGUAACUUCGGGAGAAGGAGUGCCCCCUCAGGGGGGCCGCAGAGAAGAGGCUCAAGCGACUGUUUAGCAAAAACACAGGUCUCUGCUAAAUCGAAAGAUGAUGUAUAGGGGCUGACGCCUGCCCGGUGCUGGAAGGUUAAGAGGAGUGCUUAGCGCAAGCGAAGGUGCGAAUUUAAGCCCCAGUAAACGGCGGCCGUAACGAUAACGGUCCUAAGGUAGCGAAAUUCCUUGUCAGGUAAGUUCUGACCCGCACGAAAGGCGUAACGAUUUGAGCGCUGUCUCGACAACACACCCGGUGAAAUUGUAGUACUCGUGAAGAUGCGAGUUACCCGCGACAGGACGGAAAGACCCCGUAGAGCUUUACUGCAAUCUGGCAUUGAGUUUUGGUAGUAGACGUACAGGAUAGGUGGGAGGCAGAGAAUUUGGGACGCUAGUUUCGAAGGAGCCAACCUUGGGAUACCACCCUUGUACUAUUGGAAUUCUAACAAGUGGCCGUAAUCCGGUCAUUGGACAGUGUCAGAUGGGCAGUUUGACUGGGGCGGUCGCCUCCUAAAAAGUAUCGGAGGCGCCCAAAGUUACCCUCAGGAUGGUUGGAAACCAUCUAUUAGAGUGCAAAGGCAAAAGGGUGUUUGACUGCGAGAGAGACAUCUCGAGCAGAGACGAAAGUCGGGCUUAGUGAUCCGGUGGUUCCGAGUGGAAGGGCCAUCGCUCAACGGAUAAAAGCUACCUCGGGGAUAACAGGCUUAUCUCCCCCAAGAGUCCACAUCGACGGGGAGGUUUGGCACCUCGAUGUCGGCUCGUCUCAUCCUGGGGCUGAAGCAGGUCCCAAGGGUUGGGCUGUUCGCCCAUUAAAGAGGCACGCGAGCUGGGUUCAGAACGUCGUGAGACAGUUCGGUCCCUAUCCGUCGUGGGCGUUAGAUAUUUGAGAAGAGCUGUUCCUAGUACGAGAGGACCGGAACGGACAAACCACCGGUGCACCAGUUGUUCCGCCAGGAGCAUAGCUGGGUAGCUAAGUUUGGAAAGGAUAAGUGCUGAAGGCAUCUAAGCACGAAGCCCCCUUCAAGAUAAGAUAUCUCACCAGAAAUGGUUAAGGUCUCUGGUAGACGACCAGGUAGAUAGGCUGGAUGUGGAAGUAUGGCAACAUAUGGAGCUGACCAGUACUAAU